rnacentral:lncRNA from 10 species
CUAUCUGUGUAAUUGACUGGUUAGUCUCAUUAAUGAAUAUAGAUUCAAUUCUACUUUCUUGUUCUAGAUAAAUUAUAUAAUCUAGCUUUUCCUUUCACUCAUUUACUGAUAACAACAGGAAGAAUGACAAGAUAUCUAUUAUGUAAACAGUGAGAAGAUUGGAUGCGUUUUCCGUCACAUAUUUUAAUACUAGCAGCAUAUUAUAUAUGUCAAUCCAUCAGGCAUUCAGAAGUACUUGCUUAUGAAAACUUUUUGCACCAUCAGACAAAAGACAAGGGUAGAAGACAUUUUUAACCCUACAAACACUAGUAAAUUAAAAACAGAAGGACCUUUAUGUCCUAAUAUGUCUAUGUUGUGAAAGGCUGCCCUGUGAAAUACAGGAUUUCUUAAACAUAUUUUAAAAAUCAUAGCUGUCAAUAUUUUUUAGAAAUCCAUUUAAAUUUUCUCUUGCUUUUUUACAAUUCCUAUUUAUUUAUUUAGUGGUUCUGUUGAUUUUGAUGUAUAGCCUAAACUUUAUAUUUCUUUAAAGUAUGUGGGUCUCCUUUGAGCUCUAUGCUUUUGAGAUCCCAUAUACCUAAAUUCCAGUACUCCAAAUCAGUACUGCUCAGUUUUAGUUACUAAGUUUAAAAAUGUAUUUUAAUAACAAGUUAGUUUAGUUCACUCUUGCUUCUUUCUUUACUGCUGGUAUACAUGUAUAUUCCUUUAAAUAAAUCUUGGAAUUUAUUUAAAAAUUUUAAAUUAUACUAAUGAAACUGUAUAUUGUUGUGGAUUCAUAGGUGAAUUUGGAAAGAAAUAUAUGUUUGUGUUAUUAAAGAGCUCCCUUAAAAUUUUUCUUUUAUUUCCUAUAUAAUUUUAGGUUGAGCUUGAAUUUUCUUUGUACAAACAAGCAAAUAUUUAUACUAGUUUUAAUACUGAGGUUUAGACAUUCUAUCUUAUAUUAGCAUUGAAUAUUUUCACAAUUAUAAAUAUUAUCUAAUAUUAAUAAUGUAACUUAAAAAUAUUUAAAAUUUUACCUUUGAAUUAUUUUAUUGUUGAAUUUA